CCUCUAAAUUAAUUGUUUAUUUAUUUAUUUUCCGAAAAAACUAUUAAGCGUGUCGAAUCAAAUCUCGUAUUUUUUAGCUGAAGAAAACCAAUAGUUAGGUUUAGGGUUCACUUUCACCGUUUUAUUUUAUCUCUCUCUUCUCAUUCCGCAUUUUCUUCCUACUCAAAAACAUAAAACCUUUCUCUCCAUUUGAACUUUUUCCCAUGGCGGGUGAAGAAAACAACACUGGUGCCGAAACGGUGCCGUUAAAGGUUGAUGACGUGACACAAAUCGUCAAUAUUGUCGCCGAUACGGCGUCGUUGAAGGACGGUGAAAUAGGCGAUGACGUGGCAGUAGAAGAAGAAUCUGUUCCUGAUCGUGAAAAACAAGCUAUUGUAUCCGAAACGGCGUUGUUGAAGAACGAUUUAGCUUCUGUUGAAGGUGAUGACGUGGCAGCCGGAGAUUCUUCUUCCAUUCAAGUGAUAAGAAAGUACGGUAGAAGGAAAAAGAAACCGGGAAGAAAGAGUAAUGCUGAAAUCGAGAAGGAGAAAAUUGGGAACGGAACAAAAGAAGAAACAAGUAAAGGUGAUGAUGACGUGGCAGACGGAGACUCUAUUUCCGUUCAUGCUUCCACCGAUGCUACCACUCCGGCAAAGAAACGCGGUAGAAAGAGAAAUACGGAGAAGGAAAAUGAAACAGGGAAAGAUGCUGAGGUGGAAGGAGGGUUUUCUUCUGUUGGUGUGAGAAAGAGUGAAAGGCCUAGGAAGAUUAAAUCGUUGAAGGAAGAUUACGUGUCGGAUUUGGAGGAGGAUGUGAGGAAAAAGGGGAAACGUGGUAGGAAGAAGGUCAUAAUUGGUGUUUCUGAUGAAAAUGUGAAAACAGAGAAGAAGAAACCUGGUAGGAAAAGGAAGGAACUUUUUAGUUCUGGAGAUGAAAAUGAAGCUGAAAAUGAGGGAGGAACUGUAAAAAAAGAGGAAAAGAAGAAACCUGGUAGAAAAAAGAAGGUAAGUUAUAGUUCUGAAGAAAAUGACGAAGAUGAACAAGAUGGGGAAAAUGGUAGAAAUGUUAAGAUUGAGGAGAAUGAACUGAUCAGUGAAAAGAAUUCAGAGAGUGGUGUUUUAUCUGAUGAUAAUAAAGGCUAUUCUUUAAGAAAGGCUAAAAAAACCAAGCCUGACUGCAGUGAACAGGAACAGACAGUCCCAAAGUUCAACAAGAGAAAUCCUAAGUGGAUCGAAGAGGAAUCCUUGAUGUGCCAUCAAUGUCAGAGAAAUGACAAGGGCAGGGUUGUUAGAUGCACAAAAUGCAAACGGAAAAGAUAUUGCAUACCAUGUUUAAACAACUGGUAUCCUCACUUGAAAGAGGAGAAAAUUGCUGAGGCAUGUCCAGUGUGCUGUGGUAAUUGCAAUUGCAAAGCUUGCUUGCGAUCAUCUGUACUUAUCAAUGAAAUUAAAAAGAAGACGAAAACCAACAACAGCCAUGAGGUUGAGCCCUCCAAAUAUAUGCUGAAAGUACUUCUUCCAUAUUUAAGUCGUUUGGAUGAAGAGCAAAUGGCUGAGAAGGAGAUAGAAGCAAAGAUACAAGGGCUUUCACUUUCUGAGCUAAAUAUAAAAGUUGCAGACAUCCCUAAAAAGGAGCGUGUGUACUGUGACAUCUGCAAAACCUCAAUAUUCGACUACCACAGAAGCUGUACAAAAUGUUCUUUUGACAUUUGUCUCCUUUGUUGCUGUGAGCUUCGUGGUGGGAAGCUUCUAGGUGGUGCAGAUCCAAUUGAGUUUGAGUUUAUCUUCCGAGGGCGUGAUUAUCUUCAUGGUGGAGAAGAAGAGAGGGUAAGAAAAAAAGAACCUCGUGCUGCUGCCCUGCCUGAGAUUCCUGAAUGGUCAAGAUCUGGGUGGCAUGCAAAUGAUGAUGGUAGCAUUCCCUGUCCAAAAGCCGAUGGUGAUCAUGGUUUCCUUGAACUGAGAAGUACACUUCCACCAAAUUGCAUCUCCGAGUUAGUAUGUAAAGCAAAAGAACUUGAAGCAACAAUUACGCUUCAAGAUGUAAAGGAGACUUUUGAUAGUAGGUGUUCUUGUUUGAAGCCUGUCAGGAAUGAAGAAGAUAUACACAACAACACAAGGAAGGCAGCUUCCCGUGAAGAUUCAAGUGAUAACCUUUUAUACUGUCCCAGGGCUGUAAAUCUACACAAUGAGGAUUUACAACAUUUUCAACAGCACUGGAGCAAAGGGGAGCCUGUAAUUGUCAGCAAUGUACUUGAAUGUACAUCUGGUUUAAGCUGGGAACCGCUUGUCAUGUGGCGUGCAUUCCGACAGAUAAGCAAUACCAAGCACAAAACACUUUUGGAUGUGAAGGCAAUUGAUUGCUUAGAUUGGUGUGAGGGAGAUAUUAAUGUGCACCAAUUCUUUACUGGGUACACAAAAGGUCGCCCUGAUUGGCUUAAUUGGCCUCAGGUUUUGAAAUUGAAAGAUUGGCCUCCUUCUAACUUAUUUGAAGAAAGUUUGCCUCGUCAUUGUGCUGAGUUCAUAUCUUCCUUGCCGUAUAAAGAAUAUACAGAUCCUUUCAAAGGUGUUCUUAACCUUGCUGUAAAGUUGCCUGAAAAUGUUCUAAAGCCAGAUAUGGGACCAAAAACAUAUAUUGCUUAUGGAUUUGAUCAGGAACUUGGGCGGGGUGAUUCUGUGACUAAGCUUCAUUGUGAUAUGUCUGAUGCAGUAAAUGUGUUGACUCAUAUUGCUGAAGUGAAAUUGAACUCUGUUGGUCUUGCUGCCAUUAAGAAAUUGACAGAAAAGCACCUUGAGCAAGACAAGAGGGAGCUACAUGGUGAUAAUCAGGAUGGAGAGACCACUGUUAACAAGCUUGAUAAUUCAUCUUCCAUAAAUGCUUCAGACGAGAAAAAUUGCGUUCCAGUCAUGGAAAAUAGGGGCGAUUCUUUAGACGGUGCUCUCUGGGAUAUUUUUCGGAGAGAGGAUGUUCCUAAGUUGGAGGAAUAUUUAAAGAAGCAUUUCAGAGAGUUCAGGCAUGUCCACUCCUCUCCUUUAAAGCAGGAGAUGAAACAAUGCUGAAUUUGUUGACAAGGAGGGGAAAAGGCUAGAGGUUGAAAAUGCUUCCAAUUAACAUUUUUAAGAGGAAUAUUUUGGAGGAUGCCAACCUACAGGUUGCCACAUUCUUUACAAAAAUGUGAUUUCCUGUAAUGCAGCAAAGGAUGAGACUACCAAAAUAUGUGUGAACUACUUGGGGAUUGUGGGAUCGAUUUAAUCCACCAUCUUGACAUGAAAUUAGAACGAAGUAACUAAAUAAAGUAGUUGUGUUGACAAUAAGUUUUGGAGGAUUAUAGGGAUGUUUGGAAGAACCUCAAACUACAAAUCUAUGAUAGAAGACCUUCGGAAGGACUAUCUAUAUUUUUUGCAUAUAGUCCGUAGGUUACUUUCUAAUGAUGGAUGCAAUUGUGGAGGAAGUCGGUGAAGAAAAUGUUAUCCAAAUUCGGAUCGAUCAUCACCAAAUUACAAGGCAACCACAAAUAUGUUAAAUGGCAAAUAGUGUCUUUGUUGUACACCUUGUGUUGCAAAUUGCAUAGAUAUGAUUUUGGAAUAUUUUUAGAAGGUACUACGUCUCCGUUUGAUUCGCUAAAAGAUAAGUACUGGACAAAACAACACUAUAAGAUAGAACAUAGGCUAUUUUGGUGUUUACAAGCAGAUCAAACGCAUCUAAAGAUACCAUUGCCAAGAGUAAGAGUGUUGUCACCUACAUUUUUUUUAGCCAGUCUUAUUUCUUCGAUGGAUCAUUAAUGGUUAUUUAAUGAGAUCAAUGUGAACUCAAGAACAAAACUCAAGCUCAAUGGUGAGAAUUAUGUGGUGAUGAAUUUUCAGAGUUGCACUUAGUCUUUUGUAAGUGAGAAGAAUUGGAGUGCUUUUGAGUUGGUUUACACCAAGAAAAGGAACCAUUUGAAACAAAAUACGAUGAAUGAUUGUGUGUAUGUAAUGGCCAACUCAAGAUUGGGGAGAAGUGGAGAAGAAAUCAAUUGGGUUUGACAUCGAAGAUAUAGAUUCAGUUGAUUACUGAAAUUUUGAUGAAGUUGCUGAAAGUCUAGAUAUGUAUUUGAUUAUCUAAAUGAAUUGAAUUGAAAUUGGUUCACAGUGAAGGUGAUAGUUGUGUUGUCUCAACUCCUUGUAGUGUUAUUCUGGCUGCGCAUGAAAGAUUAUUUUGAAGAAAGUAAUCGUCAACAAGGUGGAGAAGAUGAUGAAGUUGAUGAGGAUGAAUUAUAUAAUUUUAUGGAGGAUGAUAGAUCUGAUUGGCUAUGUAUUAAUGAGUUUUUUUUUGCGAGUAUACUUUUCUUUUUAGUUACAAUGCUAAAGAAAAAGAAAAGAACAGAAGAUAAAAAAGAAAAACAAAUACAAACUACUCUUUAGGAAAGAAAGUCCGAACUGCAUCCAUCUUCGGGGAUAUAAGAGACCAUUCGGAGGGAGUAUACUUUUCAGAUUAGGGUGUUUUAUUUUUUGAAAUUUUGGUAUUAUGUUAUGACUUUUGGUUAUU